UUCAAUCUAACUUUUGAUUUGGGAUGAAAUUGCAGUUUUUGACAUGAAAUAUUGCGAAUCAAAUUGGACCGCUUAAGAACUUAUCCGACUUUACUUGGCCAAAUUCAGAGCGUUGCACGGCUGAGGACCUUUCAAAUCGGUCAUAAAACUCCGGAGUGCUGCAGCUGGUGCAUCAUGCAUGUUCUAGAGACUUUCUAGUUGUAAUGAAGGCUGUCGCUGCUCUCCGCCGCUACUCAAAAGGAGAGUUGUUAUUGACAAUGAUUCUAACAGUGACUCCACAAUUAUCCAGGUACACCUUGAAUGUUCAAUGUAUGAAACUUGGGUACUAGAUGUUUUCUAGUUAUUUUUUGCCUACUUUUGUCGUAUGCAUAUGCUGCUUGAACAAGAAAGUUUAAAUUCGGUAAAUUUCAUGUUCAGAAGGAUGUGGUCAGCAGACAAGUUAGUCCCCUUGAAAAUGGUCCAAUGAUUAUGUUCUAUGCAGAGUACAUGUCAAAACAUAAAUCAAAAUUGAAGAAAGAUCAAGCAAGAAGUUACUUGAAGUGGUUCCCAAAAUUUCCAAGAAACCUAUGUCAUGGUUGCAUGGCAACUUGACAUCUUGUUCGAGUAACAUGAUGACAAAUAUACAAUAAAAAAAUUUAAAAAAACAAGGGAAAUGUAGGCUUAAAAAAUUAUAUAAGUAAACUUUUGAGAUAUUUGGAUUGACAGUCAGAUUUUUUUCAAAUUGCAAUUUAAUUUUCAUAAUUUUUUUGGUUAGAUGCAUAUUGGUGUAGAUAGAUUUAUUAUUCUUUAUAAUUUCAAUGCAAUGGGGAAAUUGUUUGCAAUAAAACUGUGUAUGAUCGAGAAAUUAAAAGAGAUCAUAUUACUUGUUUUUGAAGAAUUGUGGGCUUAAAUGAAAAUCUUUAAAGAAAAAUUAAUGUGAGAAAAGAAUUAAGAAUCUGUAAGACUCACGUAUCUUGAGUUUGAAGAUUUUUAAAAGAAGAUGUAAAAAUUCAAGGCUUUUUUUUUUUUAAAUAAUAUUAUCUAGUUAAAUGAAGAGAAUUUCAUUAAAAACAUAUAUUUUUUUAAACAAACUAGACAUGGUAGAUCUCAUAAACUUUUUCUGAAUUUAUUUUUAUUAAUUUAGGCACAUUAAAUAUAAUAUAUAAUUACUCGAAUUAAAAUUAAAAAUGAACAAAACUAGAUAAGGCAGAGUUUGAAUUUUUAUGUUAUUUGGAUAAAAUAAAUUGGUAUGAAUAAUGCAUAAAGUAUUCAGUCUAAAUGUUCGUAGUUGAAUCUUCUAAGGAUUUGUUGUUUGGCUGUGACAGAAUUUUGUUCUUCCUUAUUGCACCCCUUUUCUUCCUCAGAAUUUUGUUCCUGAACUUCUGUUGAUUAUUCAAUGCAUAAUCUGAGGGUUCUCUCUGAUGCUUACUUCUAAAAUCCAUAGAAAAUUUUCAUAAUAGGGGAGGUUUCUGCUCAUGCAAAUCUGUCCCUUAACAUGCUAAUAUUUCUAGUGCCUUUCCUUAUGUUGGAGUGGUUUGCCAAAGUGUUGUCUAAUAUUAGUCAUAUCAUUCCACAAGUUGAUGUUGCUUGUCUUCAUGUAAGUUAAUGAUUGAAUCUCUUCGGCCAAGGGGGAAGCCAUAAAAAAUAAGAAAAAUUCUUGCACCGGCUGGAUUCAUGUGGAUCUCUCUUACAUGUAAUGGAAUCCCAUAAUAGAUGAUAUCUUCUCACACGAGAUAACUCCCAUUUAUUUGGUGACAGCUACUCCAAAUUGAAACCAGUCCUUGUGGACUUAGUCUAGAUAAAAACUAUUCAAAAAAUAAGUUGAAACUCAGAAGUUAUAUAUAUAAAUGUAUAACUAUAAGCUAUAGGCUAUGUGUUUGCGUACACAUGCAGGCUUUGAUUUGAAUUUGAAUUUGUUUCUGAGUUUUGUGGUAGGUCCAGCAUGUUGUAGGAAUAUCUUUAUUGGAUGCAUGUGUCUGACAAAAGGGGUCAUACUCUGGUAAUGUUCUGUUACUGUUUUAUUUAAUUGUAGUUAGCUAUAAUAUAUAAAUCUUUAGUUCUCGGAUUGGCAAUGCAAUAUACAGGAAAAAGAGAUCGCAUUUUGAUGGUCCAAGUUCGCUAAUUUCACACUUUGUGUUAGUAUUUUAGACUAAUAACAGAAGAAAUGUACACCUCUUGGUAUGGAGUAUAUGAAUUCAGAUUAAUAUAUUCAUGCUGUACAUAAAGGAAACUUGAGCCUUUUUGUUUUUCCCUUCCCAAAGACGGCUUUUGCUUUAUUUUUCCUUGAAUUUUAAUUACGUGAUUCACGCAUAUGUACUAUAGGCAAAUAAUCACAUGUAUGUUGACUCC